rnacentral:rRNA from 1 species
GAGUUUGAUCCUGGCUCACGCAACGAACGCUGGCGGCGUGCCUAACACAUGUAAGUCGAACGAGAAAGCGGGCUUCGGCCCGUGAGUAAAGUGGCAGACGGGUGAGUAACACGUGGGUAACCUGCCCGGAGGUGGGGGAUAACUCUCCGAAAGGAGAGCUAAUACCGCACAAUACCCCGAGGCCCUCGGGUCUCGGGAUCAAAGCUAGCCUCUACCUGUAAGCUAGCGCCACCGGAGGGGCCCGCGGCCCAUUAGCUUGUUGGUGAGGUAACGGCUCACCAAGGCGACGAUGGGUAGCCGGCCUGAGAGGGCGAUCGGCCACACUGGAACUGAGACACGGUCCAGACUCCUACGGGAGGCAGCAGUGAGGAAUCUUGCGCAAUGGGGGAAACCCUGACGCAGCGACGCCGCGUGGAGGACGAAGGCCCUCGGGUCGUAAACUCCUGUCAAGCGGGACGAAAGCCUGGAGAAUGAAUAAGUCUCCCGGUUGACGGUACCGCUGGAGGAAGCCCCGGCUAACUCCGUGCCAGCAGCCGCGGUAAUACGGAGGGGGCCAGCGUUGUUCGGAAUUAUUGGGCGUAAAGGGCGCGUAGGCGGCCUG